rnacentral:lncRNA from 1 species
AUUUAGUGGGUUUGGCAACCCUACCCCAAGAUACCUUGGGCGUUGGGGAAGAAGGAGAGGCCCCUGGAGGCAGAAGCUGGUGGGCGAGGUGAGGAUGGGGCCUGUCGGGGAGACGGCCCUGGAGGACAGAGCAAAGGAGCAGUGGGGGAGACAGAGCUGCAGGUGACGAACCGGGGGAGACGCUGGUGGUCUUCCUGAGCGGGUUUCUGCCGUUUACUAGCCAGGGAACCUAAGGCAGCCAGAAAAUUCCAGAGAGGCGAUCCUCCAGAUGACACCAUCCUGACACCGUGAAGCUGGUCCUUGGGAACUUCAAGGCUUUUUCAGCAGCCUCGGUCAGAACUGGCUACCCAUCCCCUCACCCCCAGCCUGUGUCGUUCCCUCUCCCUCCAGCAUCCUGGCCCUGGGUGGUACAUCAGGCCAGGCCACGGGGUUGAGUGUGAGGGCACAGGGGUGAGGUCGGGAGGAAGCAGAGGUGGAAGGGCAGGGCCUGCUCUAGGGGCUCCGGGGGUUUGAAAGCAUCCUCGGAGAAGCAGUGUGGAGUCAGCACAUUCGGGGACCAUGUGGGGACCCAGCCCAGGGCCCCGGGUCUUACUCACCCCUUGAUGAGGCCCAUUAUCCCCAUGAAGACCCGAUGGCCUGGGUCUCCCCCGCUCCUCCCCUGAUGUAGGAGUAGGAGCCGCCUGGGCCCUGCGUCUCUGGAGGACGGUGUGUAUCAGGAGAGAGGGAGCAGGAGGGGAGGCAGCAGCACAGCUCCUGGGCCCGAGCCCACCGCUUCCAACGUCUGCUCCAGCGCUGCAGCGGGCAGGCUUCAAGGGCCAAAUGAGACACAGCAUCCAGGGCUAUUUCUCGGAUGUGCCACCUGCUCCGUCGCUCAGAAGGGCGUCUGCCUGACUGGAUGCUCCGAUGUCCCCAUGUUACAUGCACCACUCAAGGUUGACAUAAGGGAAGCCAACUGUAGGGAAAAAAAAAAACCAUAUUGUAACUUUGAAUGACCUUGUUAACUAAUCCAGCUGGCUAUGCGCCCUCUGGGAGAUAUUCGUGCUCUGUAGGUUUUAUGGCCUCUCCCAGCUGCUCUAAGUUGAUAAGUGUCUUCUUUCAAGUUCCUUAGAAAUGUUAUGAGCCCUGGGCAGAGAGUCUAUGCUGAGAGCCAUCAUCAGUGACAACUGAAAGAUCCGGGUAUAGGGCCUUGCUGCAGUCUCAGAUGCAUAGCCUGAUAAAAGAUUAUCAGGAACUAAGACCAGAUGCCUUCCCCACCCGGAGACCAUCCCCCUGUAUAACUGCCUGUAGUCCUUGUUGUGUAAGAUGGUUCUUUCUGAUGUUAGUCAGCCAUGUUCCCUCUUGCUAGCAAACCAUAAGAAAACCCUU